rnacentral:rRNA from 1 species
UACAGAGGUCCCAAGCGUUGUUCGGAUUCACUGGGCGUAAAGGGUGCGUAGGCGGUCGGGUAAGUCUGACGUGAAAUCUUCAAGCUUAACUUGGAAACUGCGUCGGAUACUAUUCGGCUGGAGGAAUGGAGGGGAGACUGGAAUACUUGGUGUAGCAGUGAAAUGCGUAGAUAUCAAGUGGAACACCAGUGGCGAAGGCGAGUCUCUGGACAUUUCCUGACGCUGAGGCACGAAGGCCAGGGGAGCAAACGGG